UACACACAAUUAGACACUGCAAUGGGGGGACAGAACUGGGGAACGAAGGGUCUGGGAAUCACACAAAAAACAGAACUAUCUUCUUUCUCACGAAGAAUCAACCAAAUUAAUCAAAAAUUUUAAAAAAAAGCUUCACUUGUUUUCAGCUAUCUUCUUCUUUUCCCAAGCGACAGAACACAAAGUUUCAACACAAUGUAAAUUCUCCAUAGCCUAUUGCAUCCAUCAAUGAAAGAAACUCCAUUUCUUCACCAUUAAACCAUCACAAAUCAGCCCCCAAAAUCACCAGAAAAACAUCUUGUAUAAACCACUUGAAGCCAUCUUAAAUUCAAGUGAAAUCUCGUUCUAGAGUUCCGGCGAAAAUAGAGGUGAGUGAACGAGCAGCUGCUGGUCACUUGCGAGUGAAGCGACGAGCUCUCUGUUAGCAGAAGCGAGGUGUCGAUUCAAGCCUGUCGAGUGAAGGCAGGGUUCAGUGUAGUCGUCAUGUUCCGGCGAGGUUAAGCGGGUCCGGUCAACAGUAGCUCAUCCCGCUUGUGUGGAGGUUCACUUUGAGGUUAUUUUCUUUCACUUUGGUGUAAUUCUAUAUCUAUGUUUGCAUGCAUUUGUUCUUUGCAAAUUUAUGUGAAUAAGGUAUGUUUUCUUACAACUUGUUUUAGUCAGUUGGUGAGCUUCCUUAUUGUUUUAGCUAUCAAACAGCUUACUCACGUAAUCAUCUCGUUUUAUCUCAAAGUUGCAUGUUUAAAUUAUUAGUAGUAUGGUUCAUAAUCUGUGUAAGUUACUUUAGGUUGUGAUAAUGAUUCAGAUGAAUUAAUUUUUAUUUCAUUGCCCAUGAUUUGUAAAAUAAUAUUUUGGGAAAGAAAACUUGGAAAGCAGAACAAAUUUUUGAGCAGUGGUGUAUCUAGGAUAUAAGAUUCCUUGGUGCUCAAACUUUUUUUUUUUAAUAGUAUUACUACAGUACACAAUUAUUUCAAUACGACAGUGAAAAAAGUUGAUGAGAAAACUCAUAAAAAAUAGAACGAAGAAGGAGGAAGAACCUUGAAUAUAAGAAAAAGAAACAGAAAGUGUUAUUGGUGAGAAUCAAACUCUGGCCUUUAAUAUUACUAAGCUUCCAACACCCCUUCUUAACCAAAGCAACCACCAGUGGUUUUAUUAUUAUCUGGGUUCUUUUGAUAAUAUAUAUCUAUUUCAUUAAGUUUUCUAUGGAAUUAUACCUAUCCAAAGUUAAGAUUAAUGGGUGCUUAAGCAUCCAAAUUUUCUAUAUAGAUCGCCCGUGUUUGUGAGGCCUUUGGUUCGUGUGCGCCCAACGUGACAUGGAUUGUAAUGUCUGAAGAAAUUUUUUCACAUGGCAUCUUCUCAAAUGCAUUUACUCUUCUUUUGAUAUGGCGGAGAAUUCAUCUAAUGUUUGUGUUCACAUCUUUUCUUUGUAUGGAUUGGUUCCACGGCUUGUUGGUGCAUUCACGCCAAUUACCUCCAUAUCACGGCCUAGUAGUUUAACAAUCUAAGCCACCAUUUUCACAGCAAAUUUUCAUUAUUCAUGACUCACACUUUUUAAUCUCAAAUCCCAUAAAUAGAAAGCGUAGUUGCUAUACGCAUGUAAUUUAAAUUACUGUCUUAUAUUAGGGUGUGCAUUUCAUGUGAUCCAAAUUUAAAUCCUAAAACGUUGAAUAACGUGUAUAUCGGGUUGUGGGUGCAUUUCAUAUGAAGCGAUCCAAAAACAUAUUCUAGACGACGUUCAAUCUUCCUUAAAAUUAAUUAAAAGCGGUAAAUAAUUUAAAAUUUCACUAUAGGUUCGGACAUAUUUAAAAUCAGACAGUAGGCCAAUUAUAAUAGCUUAAGCGACCGUGCUAGAACCACGGAAUCUGGGGGUGCCUAACACCUUCCCUCGAGUUAAUAGAAUUCCUUAUUCAGAAUUUUUAGUUCGCAGACUUCAUAAAAAAAGUCAAAUUUUUCUCGAUUUGGGAUUUAAAAUAAAAUGGUAAUAUCACUUAAAUUGGAAAAACUCCCUUAUAUAUUACCCUUCGGGAUAGUGUGAAAAAAGGAGGUGUGACAUACAUUAAAAUAGAUUUUCAAAUGAUUUCCAUAAAAGUACAAAAAUCCCCGGGCCCAUACGGUCAAAACCCGAGGUUCGAACCAAAGCCCGAUUACUCAUUUGCCCACGAACUCAAAUAUAUUAUUUCUUUUGAAAUUUGACCUCCAAUCGAGGUCCAAAUCUUCAAAAUUUUUAAAAAUCCUAAGUUCUACCCAAAAUACCCAAUUUUCCCAUGAAACCCUUGAAUUUGAGUUAAAAUCAUGUAAAAAGAUGUUAUAGAUUAAAGAAAAUGAGUUAGAAAUGACUUACAAUCGAUUUGGAGAAGAACCUUUCGUUAGAACAACGUCCAAGAGAGCUUUGAGUUUGAGAGAGUUUGAAAAAUGAAAGGUUUUCGGCUAAGUUAUGAUUUUGCAGGUUGGAGAUGUCGUAAUUGCGAUCAGGGUUUGCAGUUGUGAAUCUCUUUUGGACCUUCUAUCUUCGCUAAUGUGAAGAAUCUGUCACAUUUGCGACCAAUGAAGAAUCUAGUCACCUUCGCAUUUGUGAAGGACAUGUCUCUUUGCAACAUUGCAAUUGCUAGGAAAGGUCGCAUUUGCGACCAAGUCCUGCCAAGCCCAGUCUUCGAAAAUGCAUAUGGGUGUUCACAAAUGAGAGCUCGCAACUGCGAGCCAGGAUUCGCAAUUGCAAAGCAUGCAAAUCUUCAACACACAUAAGUUUUUUCCUAAGUUCGAAAAACUUAGUAGUCUAUCCAAAACCCACCCGAGCCCUCGAGACUCCAAACUGAACAAGCACACAAGUUCAAAAAUAUCAUACCGACUUGCUCGUGUGAUCAAAUCAUCAAUAUAACAUUAAUAACGAUGAAUUUAGCAUCAAAAUCAAAUAAAAAUCUCAUGAACUCCUAAGUUCCAUUUUUAACAACCGAUGGUCCGAUUCACGUCAUAUCAAGUCCGUUUUAUAGAAAAUUUUACAGGCUCAACUUAAACACUAUAUAAGACCUGUAUUGGGCCCCGGAACCAAAAUACGGGCCACAUACCUUCAAAUUCAAAGUCAUUUAGAUUUCUGGAAACUCUUGUAAUUUAAGUUAAACAAUUUUGUUCAAAAAUUCAUUUCUCGAGCUUGGAAGCUCGGAAUUGACUUUCGGGCAUAUGCCUAAGUCCUAUAUUUUCCUACGGACCUUUCGAGACUGCCAAAUCAUGGGUCCGGAUAUGUUUACCUAAAAUAUUAACAAAAGUCAACUUAAAUUAAUUUUAAAAGUAAAAUUUAUCAAUUUUGACAAAUUUUCAAAUAAUGGCUUUCCGGAUACACUCCCGGACCCCGAAAAUAAAUCAAGGUGAGAUAAAAGGAGGUUUUAAGGCCUUAGAACACAGAAUUUACUUUCAAAUCAUGGGAUGACCUUUUAGGCCAUCAUAUUCUUCACCUUUAAAACAAUCGUUCAUUCUCGAACGGACAUAUGAAAAGUACAUGAGUCAGAUAAAAUAUAGGGAUAUCGGAUCUGCAUAUCAGACUCGAACUCCCAGAUCGCUGCCUUAAUAGGCUACCCCUCCACUGAACACAAAAAGAAGGAACUCUUCGAUCUUAAACGAAUAUGCUAGUCUAGAAUUGCUAUUGGAUCCUCCUCAUAGGACAAGUCCUUGUCCAAUUGGACAGCACUAAAGUCUAACACGUGGGAUGGAUUGUUGUAAUACUUUCGAAGCAGGGACACAUAAAUUACUGGAUGCACGACUGAUAAACGUGGCGGCAACGCAAGUCCAUUAGCCAGCUCUCCUACUCAUAAAGAAUCUCAAACAUGCAAAUUAAUCUAGGGCUAAGCUUGCUGCUCUUCCCAAAUCUCAUCACGUCCUUCUUAGGCGACACUCGAAGCAACACCCAUUCACCGACCAUAUUCCACAUCACGAAUCGGCAUAACUUUUUUGCCUGGACUGAUCUGUACGAAGCAUAUCUUGAAUUAUCCUGACAUUGUCCAAGGCAUCCUGUACUAGAUCCAUACCCAAAAACCGAGCCUCUCCCGGGUCAAACCAUCCAACCAAUGACCGACACCGCCUACUAUAUUAAGCCUUAUAAAGAGCCAUAUGGAUGCUCGACUGGUAACUGUUGUUGUAGGAGAACUCCGCUAAAGGCAAAAACGGAUCCCAGAAGCCUCCAAAUUCAAUAACACUAGCUCAGAGCAUAUCCUCCAAAAUCUUAAUAGUACACUCGGACUGCCCAUUCAUCCGAGGAUGAAAUGUUGUGCUUAACUCGACCCGUGUGCCUAACCCGCACUGAACUGCCCUCUAGAAAUACGAGGUAAGCCACAUACCUCGUUCAAAAAUAAUAGACACAGGCACACCAUGAAGAUGAACAAUCUCCUAGAUAUAGAUCUCAGCUAACCUUUCGGAAGAAUAGGAGACUGCCACAGGUAUGAAAUGCUGACUUGGUUAGUAUAUCAACAAUUACCCACACUCCGUCGAACAUCCUAUGAGUCUAUGGGAGUCCAACAACAAAGUCCAUAGUGAUACACUCUCACUUAGGAAUCUUAAUCUUUUGGAAAAAAAUUGCCAAGUCUCUAAUGCUCAUACUUUACCUGCUUGAAAUCCAAACACCAAGUCACAUAUGUCACAAUAUCCUUCUAUAUCCUCCAAUACCAACAAUCCUGCCACAAAUCCUAAUACAUCUUAGCGUCGGCUGGAUGAAUAGAGUACUGGGACUUAUGGGCCUCCUCUAGAAUGAACUAUCUAAUCCCAUCUACAUUAGGCAUACAUACUCGACCCUACAUACGCAACUCUCCAUCAUCUCCAAAAGUGACAUGCUUCUCACCACCUUGCCGCACUGUGUCCUUUAGGACACACAAAUAAGGAUCAUCAUACUGCCGAUCUCGAAUAUGCUCCAAUAAUGAAGAACGAACCAGUAUGAAAGCUAAUACUUGGAUGAGCUCAAAAAUAUCCAACCUUAUAAACUGAUUGGCUAAAGCCAGAACAUCCAAAGCCAGCAGUCUCUCACCAAUCAUAAUAUACGCAAGAAUGCCCAUCCUGACCGACUUCCUGCUCAAAGCAUCGACCACUACAUUGGCCUUCCUCGGAUGAUAUAAAAUGGUGAUAUCAUAGUCUUUCAAUAUCUCAGUAAAUCUGAAUAUCAUCAAUAAAGACUAUCAUGAAUGAAUCCAAGUAUGGCUUGAACACUCGGUUCAUCAAAUCCAUAAAAGUAUCUAGGGUAUUUGUCAACCCAAACGACAUCACCAAGAACUCAUAAUGCCCAUACCGAGUGUGGAAAGCUAUCUUAGGGACAUCAGAUGCCCUAAUCCUCAACAGAUGGCAUCAAGAUCUCAAGUCAUUCUUUGAAAAUACCUUGGCACCCUGAAGUCAAUCAAACAAAUCAUCAAUCCUCAAUAAUGGAUACGUAUUCUUGAUUGCUGCCUUGUUCAAGUGCAGGUAAUCUAUAUACAUCUUUAUCAAUCUGUCCUUCUUCUUAACAAACAACACUAGCACAUCCCAAGGCGAGACACUAGGUCUAAUAAAGCCUUUAUCAUUUAAGUCUUGCAACUGCUGCUUCAAUUCUUUCAACUCCGGCGGGGCCAUAGAAAUGAGAUGAAUGCCUAGAGCCAAAAUCAAUGCAGAAGUCAAUAUCCCUGUCAAGUGGCAUGCUCGAUAGGUCUGAAGGAAACACCUCAGGAAACUCACGAACAACAUGUACAAAAUCCAUAUAAGGAACCUCAACACUAAAAUCACGACCAUACACCAAAUAUGCCAAACAUCCCUUAUCAACCAUACGAAGAGCCUUCAUAUAUGAGAUAACCAUGCAUAUAGAUUGACCCCAGAGUCCCUCUCCAUUCUAGACGAGGUAAACCAAGUAAGGUUGGUCUUGGCAUGACACUCCAAGAUAACAUGGUAAGGUGAUAAUUAGUCCAUCCCUAAUAUGACAUCAAAAUCAACCAUAUCCAAAAGUAACAAAUCUACUCGAGUAUCAAGACCCCCAAUCAAAAAAAUAGAAGAAUGAUGGACACGAUAUACCAUAAUAGAAUUAUCCACUGGUGUAGACAUAUAUACAUGAGCACUCAAAGAAUUACUAGGCAUGACCAGAUACGAUGCAAAAUAAGAUGACACAUAGGAAUAUGUAGAUCCUGGAUCAAAUAGAACUGAAGCAUCUCUACCAACCAGAACAAUACUUGUGAUACCUGCAUCAGAGGCCUCAGUAUCGGGACUGGAUAGAAGAUCAUAACAUCGAGGCUGGGCCCCACCACUUUGAGUUACAUCUCUAGGAUGACCUCUUUCUUGCUGGCCUCCACCUCUAGCGGCUUGACCUCAACCUAUAAUGCCUAUACCUCCAUUUCUAGUACCUCUACCCCCUCUUGCUGGCUGACCAGACAAUGGAACACUCGGUUCCUGAACCAUGGCAUAGGAACCCCGAUGGUAAGAGCUGCUCGGUGCUCGAGGGCAAAUCUAGCAAUAUGCCUCAUAUUACCACAAGUAUAACAAGCCAUCGGCUGUUGAGACUGCUAACCCUGACGGCCUGAAUGACCACCCUGAAAACUUUGGAGUGGCGGUGCACCGAUAGAAGCUGGUGGUGCACUAUAGGACUGUUGAUCAUGUUACUGCAUAUAAGAACCACGACCACCGUGAGAAGCCUAUUGUGUUGAAUGAAACAGCCUGGAAGGAUGGACCCUAUUAAAAGAAUCCCUUCCUCUAGAUGAAGCACCACUAAAUUUGGCCGAAUGACGAGGCCUCUAGUCAGAUCUCCCACCACCCCAUAUGAUAGAACCAUCUCAACUCUUCUGGACACAUUGGCGGCAUACUGAAAGGAAAUCUCGCGCCCCAUCUUCUUAGCCAUAUGAAGUCGAAUAGUCGGAACGAGUCCCUCAAUAACCUCUCACUCCCUCUAUCUCAGUGGGAAGUAUAAGAAGAGUAUGACGGGCAAAAUCAACAAACCUGGUCAUGUACUGAAUUACACUCAUAGAACCCUGUUGUAGGCGCUCAAACUGCCUCCGAUAGUUCUCCCUCUGAGUGAUAGGAAGAAACUUCUCCAAAAAUAGCUGAGAAAACUAAUCCCAAGACAAAGUUGGUGACCCAGGUGGUCUAGCAAAACAAUAAUCCCUCCACCAAGUCUUGGAAGAUCCAGACAAAUGAAAAAUAACAAAUUCGAGCCCAUUGGUCUCCACUAUCUCCAUGCUCCCGAAAAACCUCAUAACAAUUGUCUAAAUAAUCUUGGGGAUCCUCAGAAGUAGCACCGCAGUAAGCGGUAGUGAAGAGCUUGGUAAACCUGCCCAACCUCCACAAAGCAUCAACAGACAUAGCUGACCCAUCACCGGUCUGUGCCACAACACUCAGCUAAAUUAUCCUAACCAGAUGGGCUGCUGGAGUCUAAAAUUGGCGAGCCAUCUACUCCAGAGUGCGAGUAGCAAGAGUCUGAGCUCCUCCUCCAGUUUGAGAGACAACCGGUGCUACAGGAAGCAAGCCUUUAUGGGAGAAACUCUCCAUAAGGCCCACUAGAUGGACCAAGGCAUCCUAAAGUAUCGAGGCCGCAAUGAAGCCCUCUGGGAACUGACUAGGCUGGAACCUCCUCGUCAAACUCAAACUGAAGGUUUUCAGUUGGUGCUACUAGUCGAGCUCUAGGAUGAGCUUUGCCUCUACCUUAGGCCCUAGCACGACAUCUACCUCUGCCCCUCGCAUGAGCUGCUACAAGAGGCUCGGGCUACAUGUCAGCUGAUAAAGCGGUACGUGUUCUCAUCAUCUACGAGAGAACAUUGUAGAAGUUUAAUUAGCAUUGAGAAAUCAAGUCGCAUGACAGGAAAGAAUAGAUUUGAUGUUUUUUUUUCCUAACUCUGUAGCCUCUAGGGGAUAAAUACAGGUGUCUCUGUACUAAUCCCUCAUACUCUAAUAAGCAACGUCUUUGUACUAAUCCCUCAUACUUUGCUAAGCUUGUCCGUGAGUUGUGAGACCUAAGUAAUAUAGAGCUCUGAUAACCUACUUGUCAUGACCUGGAUUUUCCAUCCUCGGGAGUCGUGAUGGCGCCUCCUAGUGCAAGCUAGGCAAGCUAGUUAUUCCAAUUGUUUAACCAUUUUCAUUUAUAGUCCCUGGAAAAUUUUAAUAUAAUAUAACAAAGCAGCGAAAAUAAUAAUAACCAAAACAAUGUGGAAGACGAAAUUUGAUAGUUUAGAUUAAUACAAGCUACGGAAGUGUAAGUACAGCUCUACCAAUAAUCUGGUAUCAUAACGUCAUGGACCAUCUAUGACUACUACAAAUAAAGACUCAAUAGAAAUACUUGAAUGUGUCUCUGAAUAAGAAAAUAUAGAAAGGGAAUGAUAGAAGGAGACGCCAAGACCUGCGGAUGCCUGGAGUGCUACCUCGGGUAGCCUGAUGAACUUGAAGCAGCAACCUCACUCUGGUCUAAAAGCUACAUCAUCGGGAUCUGCACAUAGUGCUGCACAUAGUGCAGAGUGUAGUAAAAGCAUAACCAACCCCAUGUGCUGGUAAGUGCCUAGCCUAACCUUGGCGAAGUAGUAAUGAGGCUAGGACUAGACUACCAAAUAAACUUGUGAAGUUAACUCAUAUACAACAAAAAAGUAAAUGCAGAAAAUUACCGCUAAGGAUAGGAAGGGGGAAAUAUGUUGCGGGGAACAUCAAGUAACACUAGAAAACCUAUAAAUAACGUAAGGAACACCAUAACUCAAUUAUCAGCAAGAAUCAUGAAAUCAAAGACAAUUGUACGACAUAAUCCUUCGUGCUUUUACAAUCGUCCUCACCAUAAGAAUCAAUAUAAUCGGCAUGCAUCACCCUUCGCACUUUUACCUCACAUAAUCAUGGCACUGAAUUCUCCUUCGUGCAUUAUCACUCAUAUCAUAGCACGACAUUGUACAUCGUGCAACACGGAACACGCUUCGUGCUUUAACCUCACAAUAUCGUUACAACAUCACACUUCGUGCAUUAACACUCUCUCACAAAUAUCAUGCACGGUAUCACCCUUCAUGCUUUUACACUUUUCCUUACCUAAACAAUAAUCAUAAAGCAAUAUGGGCAAGCGAAUCAAUAAAAUCACAAUGGAAUCCCGGCAAGGGAACAAUAGCAUAAUAACAAUAUCCUGACAAGCGAAACAAUACCAAAAGCAAUAACAUCUGGGAAAGGGAGAUAAUAUCAAAAGAAAUAACAUCCCGGCAAGGGAGACAACAUCAUAAACCAAUUCUAUUUUCCACAAUUACUUCACAACGCAAUUUACAAUUUAUUCCAAUGCUGUACAAUGUUUAAUUAUCAAUAAUACUUCCACAACUUAAUUCACAACUUCACCUAACGCUCUAAAAUGUUUAAUUACCAAUAUUACUUCCACAAGCCUUGUUCAUCAAUAAAAAUCAUCAUAUUAAGCAUGAACAAUAAGAAACAUAAUCACAUUUAUUAUAAUAUAAGACUCACAUGCAUGCUUGACACCGAUGUAUAGAUACUCGUCAUCAUGCAUGUACGUCGUAGCCAACAAUUAACACAUAGCAAUAAGAAAACUCCUAAUUCCUCAAGCUAAGGAUAGACAAAUUACAUACCUCGAUGUUACGAACACAAUUCAAGCCAAAACUACCGCUUUACCUCCUAUUUCCACCACAGAUUUGCUUGUAUCUAGUCACAGUUUACUUAAUAAUAUUAAUAAAUGCUAAUGAAUCAAUUAUAAUGUAUGAAAAUAAGGUUUUAAAUAAAUCUCCAAAAAGUAAAACAUCGACCCCGGGCCCACAUGGUCAAUAAUCGAGGUUCGAACUAAAAUCUGAUUACCCAUUCACCCGCAAACUCAAAUAUAUAAUUUAUUUUCAAAUUUGACCUCAAACCGAGGUCCAAAUCUCUAAAAUUUGAAAAUCCUAAGUUCUACCCAAAGCAUCCAAUUUCCUUGUGAAACCCCUUGAUUUUGAUUUUAAAUCAUAUAAAAUAAUGUUAUUGAUUAAAUAAAAUGUGUUAGAAAUAACUUACAAUCGAUUUGGAGAAGAACACUUCUUUGGAAAAACACCCAAGGGAGCUUAGGGUUUGAGAGAGUUCGAAAAAUGAAAGAUUUUCGGCUAACUUAUGAUUUUGCAGGUCGUAUUGCGACAAGGAUUCGCAAUUGCGUAUCCUUUAAAACCUGCUAUCUUUGCAAAUGCGAAGAAUUUGUUGCAUUAGCGACCAAUGAAGAAUUCGGUCACCUUCGCAUUUGUGAAGGACAUGUCGCAUUUGCGACAUUGCAAUUGCGAGGAAAGGUCGCAUUUGUGACCAAGGCCCGCCCAGCCCAGUCUUCGAAAAUGUGAAUGGGUGUUUGCAAAUGUGAGCUUGCAAUUGCGAGCCAAGUUUGGCAAUUGCGAAGCCUGCAGCACACAACCGUUUUUUUUUCUAUGUUCAAAAGACUCUGUGGCCUUUCCAAUACUCACUCGAGCCCUCGCAGCUCCAAACAAAACUUGCAUGCAAGUCCAAAAAUAUCUUACGAAUUGCUAGUGCGAUCAGAUCAUCAAAAUAACAUCAAUAAUUAUCAAUUUAGCAUUAAAAUCGAAGAAAAAUCUCUUGAACUCCUAAGUUCUAUUUUCAAUAACCGAUGGUCCGAUUCAUGUCAUAUCAAGUCCGUCUCUUACCAAAUUUUACACGCUCUACUUAAAUACCAUAUAAGACCUGUACCACACUCCGAAAUUAAAAAUACAUGCCUAAUACCAUCAAAUUCAAACUCAUUUAGAUUUCUGCAUACUCUUAUAAUUUAAAUUAAAUAAUUUUCUUCAAAAAUUCAUUCGUCAGGCUUGGGACCUCGAAAUUUGAAUCUGGGCAUAUAUGCCCAAGUCUCAUAUAUUCCUACGGACCUUUCGAGACCAUCUAAUUACGGAUCUGAUCCGUUUACCAAAAAUAUUGAACGAAGUCAACUCAAAUUUAUUUUAAAAGAAAAAUUUAUCAUUUUUCAUAGAUUUUCACAUAAUGGUUUUUUGGAUACACGCCCGAACUGCACACGUAAAUUGAGGUGAGAUAAAAAGGAGGUUUAAGACCUCGAAACACAGAACUUACUUUCAAAAAAAUGAUGACCUUUUGGGUCAUCACAGUAACAUUGACUGAAACUGUAAAUAUUAGAGCAAACAUCAUUUAUAAUCCUUGCUUAUUUUACCUCGCCAAGGUUAGUUAGGAUAUUUGCUGAGUAUAUUGGGUUGGUUAUACAUGGUACACUCUGUACUUAAUUGUGCAAAUCCAGGUGUCGGGCCCAAUCACCAGUGGCUGAGGCUUGUAGCAUGACCGAUUAUAGAGAGCCGAGGUAGAACUACAUUCUUGAUCACAAUCUUGACAUCUCUUUCCAUAUGUACUAUUGAAUUUAUUCAGAAAGUAUUGUAGUUUGUCAUUUUAGACUUGUAUUUUAGUAUUAGAGCUCAUGACUCUGUAUUUACCAGUUUCUUGGGGAUUUAUCAUGUAUUUGUGGUAUUGUGCUAUAUUAAGGUUUUAGACUCAUUUUUACUUUUAUCUUUUCUGUUGUUAUGGUUUAUUAUUGUUAUGUCUAGUUUGCCUAGAAAGUGUGUUAGGCUAUCACGAUAGGUUAAGAUUUUUGGAUUGUGACAGUUAAUAAGUGUGCAGAAGUUGAUAAUUGUUGGUGAGUCCGUAUUUGUUCGCUUGGGAAAGGAGUUUAAUUAAUUGUUACAUUCUUUUAUUGAACUCUUAGAGUCUUUUCACAGUCAUUCAUCUAGUGUCAUGAGUAUUUAAUUAUUAUAGGCUUGUGAUAAGUAUUGUUUCUUAAAAACCGCACCUGAUAGCAUUUCUGCGGUUGUUUGAAUAAGGCGUUUUAAUUUAUUAUGAAUGUUUGACCAUGAUCAGAAAACGUGUACCUUGAUUUAUUUUGGAAAUCGUAUAAUGAUCCAACACGAAAUCCAUAGAUUCAUUAAAGGAUACAAAUUAUUAACAAAGAUAUUGCAUUAUAAUAUCAGAACAAAAUCCUUCAUCACAUCAGCAUAAAAAUGAACUUCAGUUUGUUUGGUUUUUUGUUUUUGUUUUUUUGUUACUGUAUUGAAUUAAUAGAUAACUAACGUUUUCACAUAGGAAGCUUUUUUAAGUUGCUUUAACUAGGUGUUAUUUAGAUCAUUGUGUGCUUCCGUUAACGGGUUCUCAAAACAAAGAAAACCUACAAACUGUCACUUAAAAGAGACAUAUCACCAAAACAUAGUACAUCUUUAUAUCCAUUACAAUUUCUUGACAAGUAAAAUUCAGCCAAAAAAGCAACAGAAUAAACUAUAAGAGUUGGAGUAAGGUUACCAAAGCAUGAUUGUAUAUAGAGAAAAUCUUGAAUAAAAAAUACUUUUAUUAUUGCCGAAUCUGAAUUUUAAAAUGUUGCAAUUCAACAAACGGACCGAACACCAUUGACCACGACCGAAAACCGGUGACAGCAACCUCGACAGAAAUUUAAAUAGAAGUACUAUGGGGGCAAGGGAAGUUGGACAUGGAAAGAUUUCCAAACUUUAAACAAGGAGGUUCACGGACUCUGCAGCUGAUCUCUUCCAUCUAUCUUUGAUUUCUUUCCGAUCUCGGCUGCCACUGAAAUUCAAAGCCUUAAUGUGUGACGGCCUACUAAGGUCAUCACUUAUUUACUUUUCGUUUUGUAUUUCUAAGGCCUUAAAACCUCCUCUCGAGUUUUCUCGAAUUGCGUGUUUUAUCCCGGCGCGUAGCCGGAAAGCUUAGAUAUGGAUUCUGUGAGAAAAAUACUAAAUAUUGAUAAUAAAUUGAAUAAAUUUGUCUUCGGUCAACGUUUUGGGUAACCGAACACGGACCCGUAAUUUGAUGGUCCCGAAGGGUCCAUACGAAAAUAUGGGACUUUAGCGUAUGCAUGGAAUCAUAUUCUGAGCUCCCAAGUCCGAAAAAUGAAUUUUUAUAUGAAAUUAUUUUCUAGAAAUAAUUAAAGAAAAUGGAAACGAAAUUUGAUUAGAAGACUGGGGUAUUGGUCCCGUAUUUUAGUUUCGGUGCCCGCUACAAGUGUUGUAUGUGAUUGGAGCACUUUUUGCAAAGUGUGGUUGAAAGCGGACGUCGUUUGACAUGUUUCGGAACCGAACUGGGAAUUUUAUGUCUUAUGAAAAAUUUGGAAGAAAUCAUGAGUUGUGAGACUCGAUCUGAUGCAUAUGAUGUUAUUUUGGCGAUUUAAUAGCCAGACAAGUCUGUAGGAUGUUUUUGAGGUCGUAUACAUAUUUGGUUUGCAGCCCCGAGGGCUCAGUUGAGUUUCGAGUAGGUUCUGGGAGGUCUUAGACUUAUAAAGACCAGUUAUCGCAGGUCAAGUGCAAGCUGCAGGUUCCAGCACGCGGCCACCGUUGUCCUUGCACGGUCCACGAUACGAGCCGCGCGGCUGUAGUUGUCCUCGCACGGUCCGCGGUGUGAGCCGUGCGGCCGCGGUCGUCCUCCCGCGGACCGCACUGGCAGCUUUAGAGAACCAGUAGCCUUCAGCUCUACUAGCUUAGCCGCGUCCGCUUUAGCGCGGUCCGCACUGUGAGACGCGCGGCCGUGGUCAUCUUCGUGCGGUCCGUGCUAGGCGCGUCAGAUUUCCAGUUAUUUCUCACCUUUAAAAAAAACCAAAACAUAAGAGGCGAUUUUCUAAGCAAUUCUUCUCAUUCAAAACAAUUGAUAAGUGAUUUCUAACUCAUUUUCUUCACUCCUUAACACCUUUUAACAUAAUUUUAAUAUCAAACCGAAGUUAUUAAUGGGAAAAUUUGGAUAUAUUGGGUAUGACCUAGGGCUUUGCUAAAAUUAGGGGUCGCACCUCAAUUCGAGGUCUCAUUUCAAAAGUAAUCACAUAAUUGGAUUCGUGGGGAAAUGGGUAACCAGAUUUUAGUUCGAACCUUGGGUUUUGACCAUGUUGGCCCGAGGGGUAUUUUGGUCAUUUUAUCUCAAUUUGCAUCUUUGCUUUAAUUUAAAUAGUAGAAUUAGUUGCUUGAGAUGUUAUUCACGAGAUGUAAUAGAAAUGAAUUGAUUUGGGUCAUUUGGAGUCAGAUACUCGUGGACAAAGAGUAAUUUCAAGUUAAUUUUGGAGUCAAUUAAGGUAAGUGGCUUGUCUAACCUUGUCUGGGGGACCUUCCCCUUAGAAUAUGAUGUUUGUUAAUUGAAUGCCUCGUAUGUGAGGUGACGAGCACGUACUUGAGCAAAUUUUCGGAAAACCCGUUUUUACUUGAAGUAUUUAAAUUGUAUUUUUUGCUUACCUGUUCAUUUUAAAAUGGUAGUUUAUUCUAUGCUAGUUUAGAGAGGUAUGUUCAUUUGACUUGCUUGCCUAUGUAUUAAACUAUCCAAUUUGUACUCCACAUAGUAUGCUUGGCUAGUAUUUCCUAUUUCUUGUCCUGAGUUAUGUAUCUUUCCUAAUGUUUGGGUGUCUAUUGUGUGUUUUUAAAUUGGGACUACGGGUUGGCCUCCCGGAAGAUCUCCCCUGCACUUGAUAUGUUCUGGACUGAGGGUACAGGAUACCAAGAGAUCCCUGGCAUAUGAGAGUGAAUAUAAUGAGGUUACCGAGAGAUCCUCUGGAUAUCAACAGAUCCUUAGUGAAUAUAAUGAGGAUUCAAAGAGAUCAUCGGAUACCAAGAGAUCCCUAGUGAUCAAAAUGAGAAUACCAAGAGAUCCAUAGGGAACAAAAUGAGGAUACCAAGAGAUCUUCGGGAUACCAAGAAAUUCCUAGUGAAUAUAAUAAGGAUACCGAGAGAUCCUAGGAAUGCCAAGAGAUCCCUAGUGAAUAUAAUGAGGAUACCAAGAGAUCCUCGGGAUGCGAAGAGAUCCCUAGUGAAUAUAAUGAGGAUACCAAGAGAUCCUCGGGAUGGCAAGAGAUCCCUAUUGAAUAUAAUGAGGAUAUUAAGAGAUCCUCGGGAUACCAAGAGAUCCCUAGUGAAUAUAAUGAGGACACCAAGAGAUCCUCGGGAUACCAAGAGAUCCUAGGGAUACCAAGAUAUCCUUAGUGAAUAUAAUGAGGAUACCGAGAGAUCCCCGGUUAUUCUUUCCUGUUGUGAGUAAUGUUCCUUAUAUUGUUUUUUUCUGUUUCCUGUUGCUAUUUCCUUUAUUUGUCCAGUUUAGAUUCGCUGCAGAAUUUAUCUAUGUUGUUUUUCUUUAUUUUACCAUAAUUUAUAUUUAUCUUAGUAGGGACUCGACCUUCCUCGUCACUACCCAACCGAGGUUAGGCUUGGCACUUACUGAGUACCGCUGUGGUGUACUUAUAACUCUUCUCAGCAUGUUUUUCAUGUGCAGAUCGAAGUACUUCAUCUUAGGUGCACCAUCACCGAGGCAGAG
rnacentral:lncRNA from 1 species